AUUGAACGCUGGCGGCAGGCCUAACACAUGCAAGUCGAGCGGAUGAAGGGAGCUUGCUCCUGGAUUCAGCGGCGGACGGGUGAGUAAUGCCUAGGAAUCUGCCUGGUAGUGGGGGAUAACGUCCGGAAACGGGCGCUAAUACCGCAUACGUCCUGAGGGAGAAAGUGGGGGAUCUUCGGACCUCACGCUAUCAGAUGAGCCUAGGACGGAUUAGCUAGUUGGUGGGGUAAAGGCCUACCAAGGCGACGAUCCGUAACUGGUCUGAGAGGAUGAUCAGUCACACUGGAACUGAGACACGGUCCAGACUCCUACGGGAGGCAGCAGUGGGGAAUAUUGGACAAUGGGCGAAAGCCUGAUCCAGUCAUGCCGCGUGUGUGAAGAAGGUCUUCGGAUUGUAAAGCACUUUAAGUUGGGGGGAAGGGCAGUAAGUUAAUACCUUGCUGUUUUGACGUUACCAACAGAAUAAGCACCGGCUAACUUCGUG
rnacentral:rRNA from 1 species